UACGGGGGGGGCAAGCGUUGUUCGGAAUUACUGGGCGUAAAGGGCGCGUAGGUGGCCUGAUAAGGGUGUGGUGAAAGUCCGGGGCUCAACCCCGGAUCGGCCGUGCCGACUGUUAGGCUAGAGUACUGUAGGGGCAGGCGGAAUUCCGGGUGUAGCGGUGGAAUGCGUAGAGAUCCGGAGGAACACCAGUGGCGAAGGCGACACGCUGGGCCGUACCUGACGCUAAAGCGCGACAGCAUGGGGAGCAAACGGG
rnacentral:rRNA from 1 species